CCUACGGGAGGCAGCAGUAGGGAAUUUUCGGCAAUGGGGGGAACCCUGACCGAGCAACGCCGCGUGAACGAAGAAGUUAUUCGUAAUGUAAAGUUCUUUUAACAGGGAAGAAAGAGAAAUUUGACGGUACCUGAAGAAUAAGCUCCGGCUAACUACGUGCCAGCAGCCGCGGUAAUAAGUAGGGAGCGAGCGUUAUACGGAAUUAUUGGGCGUAAAGGGUGCGUAGAUGGCAUAGUAAGUCAUUGGUAAAAGUGCUGGGCUCAACCCAGUAGGGCAAAAGAUACUGGAAGGCUAGAGUGUGACAGAGGCAAGUGGAACGACAGGUGUAGCGGUAAAAUGCGUAGAUAUAUGUAAGAACACCGGUGGCGAAGGCAGCUUGCUGGGUCGAUACUGACGUUGAGGCACGAAAGCGUGGGGAGCGAACAGGAUUAGAUACCCCAGUAGUC
rnacentral:rRNA from 1 species